rnacentral:rRNA from 1 species
GAUGAACGCUGGCGGCGUGCCUAAUACAUGCAAGUCGAGCGAACAGACGAGGAGCUUGCUCCUCUGACGUUAGCGGCGGACGGGUGAGUAACACGUGGAUAACCUACCUAUAAGACUGGGAUAACUUCGGGAAACCGGAGCUAAUACCGGAUAAUAUCUUUAACCGCAUGGUUCAAUAGUUAAAGACGGUUUUGCUGUCACUUAUAGAUGUAUCCGCGCCGCAUUAGCUAGUUGGUAAGGUAACGGCUUACCAAGGCAACGAUGUGUAGCCGACCUGAGAGGGUGAUCGGCCACACUGGAACUGAGACAAGGUCCAGACUCCUAAGGGAGGCAGCAGUAGGGAAGCUGCCGCAAGGGGCGAAAGCCUGACGGAGCAACGAAGCGUGAGUGAUGAAGGUCUUCGGAUCGUAAAACUCUGUUAUUAGGGAAGAACAAAUGUGUAAGUAACUAUGCACGUCUUGACGGUACCUAAUCAGAAAGCCACGGCUAACUACGUG